ACCGGACCCGCACAGCGGGUGGCUCCUCCGAGCGCCAUCCCUCGGUAACCA
rnacentral:ncRNA from 1 species